GGGCAGGCGGGAGCCGGCGAGGCGCGGCCCGAGCGGGGCCCGCGUGUGUCCGACCCGGGCGCCCCGGGCCACAGCAGGCUGUGCCGGAGCCAGCAGGCCUAGGAGCCCGGUGUAUCCUGAGGUGUCACUUUAAACAGGAAGAUCCUGGCUGGGGGCACGAAGAAGAUACAGAAGCUUGUACAGAAUCCUUGUACAGUCCCUCUGAGGAACAUGGAGAGCAAGAAGCAAAACCACUUCUGUUUCUUCCAGGAUGACUCAUCUCUGACCACAAGCCUCGCAUUUUUGUUUGUUCUGCUGCUGCCAGGUGUUGGUUGCCCGUUCUCCAGACUCCUUCAGGCACCACUGCUGGGGAGACUUGCUAGUCCCAGCCAGCACAAAUGAGCCUCAAGAAGUGCCUUUCCUUAAACCAACAUCCCCUUUCAUCUCCACUUUUCUCUUUCUUUUUUUGCCACCACUCCUCCUUGCUCAGCUCUUUUGCCUUCAAAACAAAUAGGUUGAGGUGACAGGUACAGAAAGAGCACAUUUCUUUGCCUUCUUUGCCACUUACUGCUCUCCCCGCCCAUUCUUCCUCCCUUGCUUGACUUUGUAAGAUUAUUUGAACUGCUCCCACAGGAGUGACUACACUUUAUAUAAUCAGUCUUGAAUUGGCUGGGUUAUUCCAAAUUGUUUACCAGCCAGAAAUAAAAAUAGCAAAGGAAGGUAACUAUUUUUGUGAUACUAAGUGACUUCUAUGCUUGUGCAGUUUUAAUGGUGCUAUCAAUAGCUGGGUUAAAGCCCAGCUAAGAGACAUUGCUAGAGCAGUCUUGCUGUGCACAACAGAUUAUAUUGCUUUCCUAACAUGAUAUACAGUGCUUGCUGUCACAGGAUUCCAGUCCCCACUCAGGACAUACUGUGCCACAACUGUUUCAAGUGUGCAAAGAAUCACACUGGAGAACAGCUGCGUUGGUAGCAGACAUGAGAGGAACAAAAAGCUUUGUCUUGGAAAGAGCACCAGAGAUUGUGUGUGCAUCACUGACAACUGUACACAUACAGAAUUCUUCAUGGGGGACAAGUAGCCCUUCAUGUGGUUUAUGAGUGUACUGGCCUACAUGAUGCUGGGAAAGGCAUGGUUAAACAGUUAGACUUUAAGGAAUAAGAGCAACAAAAAAGGAUAAUAUGCAAGAAGCAUUAGACAGAAGAGAUCUAAAGGGAUUUUUCAGCAUUAGGGCAACUAGCGGCAAAAUGACAAAUUAGGCAUGUAUUUGCCGUUGGUUGCACUGUCCUUUAAUUAUUAUGUGCUUAAUUAAAAGUUCUUUUAAAGCUAUUAUUCUGAAACACGUGAUUACUCUGAAACCUGUUUCUUGACCUCAGAAAUAAACCUGGGCAAACAGAAGUCUGUCACUAGUAUUACUACGUCAGUUGGAGAUAGGCUUUUAAAGUCAAUUAAACAUCCUGAAAUAAUCAUGCUGAUAGAAGCUGCAGCUUUCCACAAAACCACACCUACACCACAAACUUUUGCCCCCAUAGCUGUAACAGCUGGAGAUAUUGUUUAUGGCCAGCAUAUUUUUGUUGCUUAGGUGUCUUGUGUGAGCAGUUAUAACAGGAAAUACACAUUUUCCCAUGUAUGGCAUCAGGGAGCGGCGUGGCCCAGGGUUGGGAUCACAUGGAGAGCCCCAGGAGACAUGCCAAGCAGAGGCUUCCCCAGCCAGGGUCCAUUCCACUGCCUUCAGUGAGGGAGCUGGCAGGAUGGGAGGAAGCCAGCCACAAUCCUCAGCUCAGGGCAUCGGGCAGCCCCAUGGGGAUGGGCUGAGGCCAGGCUGGGAUGUGUGCUUGCUGGCAUGGGUCAUAAGUAGGCUUGGUGAGGGGAACUAGGGUCAGAUUCAGCCCUGUGAUUGCCAGGCCCAUGUGUUACUGAAGCUCUGAAAACUGAAAUAAGGCUCCUUAGCACCAUUUUUUUCUGUGUUAAAGAGGGUAUCAUUUAUUUAAGUGCCCGGAAGGAAUGAGGGAUCACUCCUCCUAACAUCCCCCUGAUUGUUACAAGUGAGUUGCUUAUAUACAGCCACUACAUGCAUAUUAUGAUUUGCCUAUUACCAUAAAAAUUGUCCCCAUGUCCCCCAAGUUUCCAAAGCCAGUCUUUGUUUUGGCUGCAGCUGUAUUCCUCAACCAGAUGACUCCUCUUUAUCUGCUAACGUCCUUGCAUGGGGAAUAAUUUCUGCCUGCCUUGCUUCUCUGCUAAAGGUCUGUAGACAGUGUCUUCUCUGCUGAAAGUUCACAGUCACAGUGUCUUUCUACUAAAAGCUCACAGUUACAGUAGAAAUUGAAUUAACCCUUUUAGUAUCACAUGGGCUGAACGUGCCCCAGGUGAGGUUGGUCAGGACUCUUGAGGAUGGUGGGUGACCCCAGGCCCUGAUGUAUGGUGUAGCUUUUUCUCAGGGGAGAGGGAGUCAUGUUUGUUCCCCACUUCCAGUUGUGCUGGUGUCAGGCGCAUGUUGCCACUGCAAUAGAUGUAGUGCCUUCACUUCAGAGCUGAGUCUGCCUCGCACCAGGUGCAGGUCUGUGAUAAGAUGCAGCAAUAUCUGAUGCAGGCUUGGCACUGUACUCUCAGGAGCCAGGAGAUGCUGACUGCACAGGAGAGUGAGAGCUGUUGGUGGAGUAGCUCUCUCAAGCUCAACAUGACCCAAGGCCUGCGACAUGCACUGCAAUUCUCUUUCCUGGGUGUGUUAUGAAGGGUGUUCUUCCCCUCAAAGUGAGGUUUUCCCAUCAUUGAAAAAGAAGCAGAGACAAAAAGAAACACCGCUAGCGCUAUGCCAAGACCAUCAAUUCAACGCAAUGGAUGUACCUGCAUCAUGAGCUCUGAUUUACAGGUACAUGUGGUGAGUGACAAGGAAUUUGAGGGAUCUAUUACUCAGUCUCCCAUGCAAAAGAAACAUUUCCCCUUGGAAAUGUGCCCACAUGGAUACCUUUACUCUACAGUCACAACGGAAGGGAUUUAUGAGCUAUAUAUAAAUGGCUUUAUCCAUCAUUUUCUGCUGCCUUACUUUUUUGAGGAGGUUUUAUGAGCACCUCCUCCCAGUGGUUGUUAUCAUUUAUGAGCUCCCCUUAUCAACCAGUACCCCUAACCCGUUACUGCUUACAUACAGUACUGCCUCCCCGACUAGGUCCACCCCUUCCAGUUUCUGCUGCUUCUCCUCUCAUACAGAUCAGGAAACAAAAUAAUUUGCAGACUCAGUAAUUUACUGGCAAUACAUGUGACAUGCUGCAUGAGAAGGAAACGCCCUGCUGCACACCAGAGAGAGGCUUGCAAGCUGCCAAGUUUCAUUUUCACAGCUGAGUUAUUAAAAGAAAAAAAAAAAGAAAAAAGUUUAGCUUUCUGUCUCAUGACUGUUUUGAUAAGCACACCCAUAGCAUGCCAACAGAUGUAGUAAAGACUGUUGUGUCAGUGUUUAGGUCAGAGUCCCUUCUGAGUCAAAACGCAAUGAGUUCCACUUUCUGCAUUGGUAUUAAAGUGUGUUGGUCCUUUGUUUCCAGAUGCUGCACUGAAACAUCCCUAAAUAACAAUGAUGGGCAGUUUGGACGUGUAAGAGACUGGAAAGAUUGAUGUCUCGAGACCCUUUGGGGUGCAUGUGUAUGGGGGAAGGGGCAAUUCAGGCCUUGUCCUGGCGAGGUGGUACACUACCCUGUACACUCCUCCUGUCCUAGAGCCUGUAUCCCAGCCUGGGAGGGCUGCCAGUCCCUGACACACCAGAGGCAAUGCUCCACACCCACCUCUGGAGCCCUUAAUCCAGCUCCUGAGUGGCCAAAUGACCGUAAGUCCCACUUGGGGGAAUGGCCCAGGAAGGCCAAGGUCUAUUGAAGGCUCUACAUGAGGCAAGCAUAUGUUUUGACCCUAUCUUCUCUUGGAACUUCUACCUGAACACUGCUGGAACCCAGUAGUGGAUAGCUAUAUGUGUUCUUUUCUAUAUCUUUUCUGUCUUUCUCUCUUUCUCCUUCUUCUAAUUUCCUCUUCUUGAAAUUUUUGAGUAACUUAAAACUGAAUGGGCUUAGAGUUUGCCAAGUUGAAUGGACCAAGUUAAUGCUUUGGGAAGUGUUUCACAUUGAUUGAAUGUUGCUCUAAACAUAUUUCUAAAGUUCCCUGAUUUU